ensembl:lncRNA
CUCGGGGAAGUGGCUGCACCGGCGGCGGACUGCGCGGACCGCGCCCGGGGCCGGGCUGGGGCCGAGCCCUGGGAGAUGCCUCGGGACCACGCCCGGCAUUGUGAGGGGCACCUAGGCAAACAGGACAGCAGCUGAGUUCCACACAGCUCUGCCCAAUCUUCCCGUCUGACCAUAGGACUCCGCCUCAUGCCACCCUGGACUUCAGAGCCGUCCUCUCCCCGCCCACGCCCACGGUGAGGAAGAGAGAAGCAGCCAGGAGACUGGGCACCAACCCUUGCUGUGCUCGGACUCAUCAGGUGACUCACUCUCCUCUUUGGGCCUCAGUUUCUUCUAGAAAAUUCAGUGAGGCAAUGAGUUAAACAGUGGUGAACAAGACUUUUUUCCCCUAGCUUUUGAUUCUAAAACUCCGGGGGUUCUCAGAUGGCUUAUAGUGGCAUCAGGCUUCACUUCCAUUUUAAUCAGUUAAUUAAUGCCGCUCUUCCUGGUUUUCCUCCUCAAUAUGAAACAGACUCUCCUAGAAUCAGGUGUGAGGAGCUGGAGGAUUCCCUCCCUCUACAUCCUUGGUGGUGUAUUAUCUGCUGUACACUGCCAACUACAGUGGCAGUUUUGUCCUUAUAGUUGUGAUUUGCUUUCUUCUUCCUCAUCUAUUGCUCAUUUUAUCCGUAAUGAACCAUUAGUGGAGACAGGAAGCAUAUGGAAUCUCACAGAGUUAAGGAUGAGCACAAUAAUAAUAAUUCCACAAAUUUGCUUGAAGAUGCUGGUCACCAGAUUGUAUUCAGCUGAUGGAAAUUUUUACAACACAUCAAGAUGUUUAUAGUACUCAAACAAGUCAUAAUUAUAUCUAAAGUGGAUUUUCAUUUACUCUGAAUAAAUACUGUCCAGAUUUAUAACAGAGAAGUACAUGUUAAUUGAUCUGAAAGCCUCUCUUUUUUAGAAACACAAUUUGAAACAUGCAACGCACCAAGUAUAUGAAUUUCCAGUUUUAGGGUAUACGAGCAACUUUUGUCAAUGUUUAAACCUUAACUAUAGGGGCCGGGGAUUCAGCUCAGUGGUUUUGGUCCCUGCCUCACAAGUGCAAGGACCCGAGUUCAAUCCCCAGUACCAAAAAAAAAAAACCACCUUAACUAUGAUGCAAUUAUUAGUAUGUAAUCUGACCCCUGAGCCUGACAUAACAUCUAAAAAUGUAUUAAGAGUUCAUGCUUUUUCUUAUCUAGUUAAUCUGAGACCAAAAGAAUAAUGAUAUGUACUAUUGCUAAAAGGGGGAAAUGGUAAAAUUUGCCUUUAAGCAUGUAGUAAUCAUCAUUAAUUAUUGCUUUAAAGAUAUACUCAUAAAAAUUUCAAUGAUGAGCUGAACUCAAAUAGCAUACUUUUAAAAAUAACCAAAUUAACUGAAUAAUUCUUAAAUUUUUGUUCAGUGGUUAUAAGAUGAAAAGGUAGAAGCAUUAGAGAACACACUUUCUAGGAUCCUUCCAGCUCUGAUGCUCUGGGAUCCUAAGGUAUACAUGGUUUGAAACCCACAAAGAACAGAAGAGUAUGGUAGUUUGACUGUGGGCAGGGGACACAUUGUUCCCCCUGGAUUAUUAUUGGGAAUUAGUCACUUUUCUUGUCCCUGAGACACAAUACCUGACAGCCACAACUUAAAGGUAAAGUUUAUAUUGGCUCAGUUUCAGAAGUUUCAGUCCAUGGUCAGCAGGCUCCAAGACAGAAACAGUAUGGUGGAACGGCCUACGUGGAGGACAGCUGCUCAUGUCAUGGCAGCCAGGAAGCAGAAUGGAGAGCCAGGGAGGAAGAUAUACUCUUCUAGGUCAUGCCCUGAGUGAUUCACCUCUUAACACCAGCGCCCCCCAACAGCACAUAGUGCCCCCAUGAUCCAAUUACCUUCCCAAAAGCCCAGCCUCUGAACACGUGAGGCUUUGGGGGCAUUCUAGAUCUAAACCAUAACAGACACGUCUUUGGGAGUCCACUUGUCAGAACCAUAAUCAGAAAGCAUCUUUCUCUCCAGCUUACUCAAGAACUUCCAAGGCAUCAGAAUCAUUGGGUCUUAGAAUUGGAGGGGAUAUUAGAGAUCAUCUGAUCCUACUAGAGCUGCCUGAAAGAUAGAAAGCGUGAGGUCAGUUCCACAUCUGUGGGAGUUCUUAAGCAGAGGUUUGGCCCCAUGCCUAGGACAAUGGCCUGCUCUUUUGGCUUCCAUGGCUGAAGACUAGCCCUGGGGCUCAGAAAUAGGCACAGCCAACCACACUGGAUGCUCUCCUCUCCUCUCUCACCAGCUCGAUGUUAUCUUUGGCAAAGGUCAGUCUGUGGAUGGAUGAACUUGGGGCCUGGUCUUCGGACUCCUGGAAGUACUGCUGUGGCACCAUGGGGCUCCAGAUAGCCUCCUGGUAUGAGCUGGCUGGUGUAUCUGAAUUACACCAGAAUUUCAAGUUUAUAUUUUGGGGCAGAGGGCAGUGACCUCUGAAAGAGAGACUGAUGACCUGGCCUGGGGAAGUCCCUUGGACUUGGAUUCAGGACAUACCUGGGGCCUCACCUAGCCCAAAGCAUCUUCACCCUUGUCACUAGACACUGUCCUCCCAAGCCUGGCUUGAUGCUUUUAUGGCCACACUAACAGAUGGGAAGCAAUGCUAUGGGGAGCCCCAAUACCAGAUAAUCUACCGCCUGUUUUUGGCUUAGGAAUGAUCUACCCAAUAGCAUUUUAAAAAUAUCCACUUGAUUAUCCUUUCUAAUUUUUUCUUCUGUUGAGACUGAAAACAAAUGUUUUUAAUGUACUUGGAGUUCGCAUUAGAAGCAGCUAGCCCUGGAAUGUCUUCAGGCUCAGAAAUAAACUGGCCUCGGCCUGACAUUUAGUGCAGAUAUUGAGGAUGGCUUUUAAUUCCCAUAAUCACAUUAGCUUGUAUUUUUAUAUGUUAAUCCUCUUCAGUGUUGGCCAUUUCCCUCUUGGUGUGCGUGUAUCCAUUUUGACUUGAGUGGUGUCCCGCCCCCUGGUCUAGAGCCUUCCUCUACAUCCUUCUAUGCCAGACCUCAGACUCUGCCUCUUGUAGUAUUUUAGGGUAUGGUUAAGAUGAAGCCGAUUGAAUUGAAGGGUUUAGAACCUUGAGCCAGUUCUUUGUGUUCCGUUCCUGCCUGUGGGACACCUCUCUGCUCUGUGUGUGUGUGUGUGUGUGUGUGUGUGUGUGUGUGUGUGUGUGUCCUGAGCACAGCUGCUCACAUUACUCUUAGUAUCAAGCCAGACCGGUGCCAGCCCCUCUUCAUUGCCUCCAUCUCCUAACGAGUAGUGGGGAGACAGUGGUGUCUCGGUGAGGGUGAGAAUGAGGAUCUCAGCUGGGCUUCUCAGACUCCACCCCCUUUCACUCUGCUGCUCCCACCUGGGGCCAACAGAGGUGCGCUUCUCUCCUGGCAAGGGAACCCACCCGGUGGGGAGGAGAAGGACAAGAGAGCGGCUGGCCACAAUGUUGGAUCUCUGCUGAGCUCCUUCCUCUGUUUUUCCUGCUGAGGGCCUCCAAGGGCCUCUGACUCAUCUUGCAAACCUAAGCUAGGGCGGGGGAUUCAGCUCAGUGGUUUCCGCCACCUGCCGUGCAAGCGCAAGGACCGGAGUUCAAUCCGCAGUACCAAAAAAAAAAAAAAACAACCUAAGCUUAACCACUAGUGCAACCCUGCAGCUGAGAUUUUUCCUGGCCUCUCAUCAGGCUGCCCAUUGCCCACUCUACCCAGCAGCCCUCUUGUCUGAUCCAUUCAGAAGCCCAGCAAGAGCUGAAAUCCUGGGCCAGCUCUCUUACUUGUUCUGUUCCUUUGGACAGCGUGGCUCAUCCAGGGAAUGAAUGAGUGGGAGCUGCAUGCAGAUAACUUUACCUGCUUCCAUUUUUUUUGCCAUAAGGAGCCCUUCAUUUUGGGCUGACACUUUAAUCCAGUAAAUGAGCGCCUGCCUGGGGAAGAGGGGCCGGCUCAGUGCUGGGAGCCUGGCUCUACAACAGUAGGGCCCUGUUGUGCCUCUUGCCACCCUCCUGACCUGGGAAAUCCUCUAAGCUGACCUAAUUACCUGCAGGGAGGGAAAGCUAUUGGAUUCCCAGCAGAUGCUUCGGUUUGAGGAGGGAGGGACCCUUGGACAGGUGGGUGGUUCCACUCUGGGAUUAACUCUUUGAAUGCUGCUUCCUUAGGACAAGUGUCCCCUUUCACUUUGCCAUCUGUUCUUGUGGGAGUGAACCACUCUGGAGUUCUUGCAGGCUG